UACUUGGGAAGCUAUUGGCAACCACCACAGGUCCUCUGUCAGUUUAAUGGCAUUAUUUUAGUUUUUUUCACUAACCCAGUCAGGACCAGAGGAUUAAAAAAUCCAUUUAUCAUUUGGCAUACCUCGUAUGCAACGAAUGUCACAGUGUAAAUGCAGCUUGGAGAUGGUAUGCAGCUGCUUGAGACUAAGCAUAAAGUUAUGGGUAGAUUUGUUUGGAAGAAACCAACAAAAUUUCGGUGCUGUGUGAGCCUUUAAUUAACCCCUUAAG